rnacentral:lncRNA from 1 species
CACCACUCCACUGCCAAAGCCUCACUUCAGAAUCUCCAUUAAUAAAAUGGACAGCCCGAUCCUCCUUCUUGGGCUCUGCCAUCAGUUUUCCUGCUUUUGACUGACAUUUCAAUGCG